GAUGAACGCUGGCGGCGUGCCUAAUACAUGCAAGUCGAGCGAACGGACGAGAAGUUUGUUUCUUUGAUGUUUGCGGCGGACGGGUGUGUAACACGUGGAUAACCCACUUCUAAGACUGGUAUAACUUCGGGAAUCCGGCGCUAAUACCGGAUAAUAUUUUGAACCGCAUGGUUCAAAAGUGUAAGACGGUCUUGCUGUCACUUAUAGAUGGUUCCGCGCUGCAUUAGCUAGUUGGUAAGGUAACGGCUUACCAAGGCAACGAUGCAUAGCGGACGUGAGAGGGGGAUCGGCCACACGGGAACGUAGACACGGUCCAGGCUCCUACGGGAGGCAGCAGUAGGGUAUCUUCCGCAAUGGGCGAAAGCCUGACGGAGCAACGCCGCGUGAGUUAUGAAGGUCUUCGGAUCGUAAAACUCUGUUAUUAGGGAAGAACAUAUGUGUAAGUAACUGUGCACAUCUUGACGGUACCUAAUCAGAAAGCCACGGCUAACUACGUG
rnacentral:rRNA from 1 species